CAGUGUUUCCUUUAUUGGUUCAUCAUAAUUCAACCAAUAUUUUUCUAUUUUUUGUUCAUGCAUCAGUCUUUCAUUUAACAAGUAGGCCCACUGUGUUUCAGGCUCACUGAGGGAAGCAGAGUGUCCACAGUGUUCAUCUGGACCAAAGUAGCAUACCAGGUCUGCAUGGGAGAAACAAAAUCAUCCCUUAGAUUCCAGGGAGGAUGACAUAAAGUUCAUGACCACUGACUUGAUGAUGGAGAAUACAAUGUAGACACAAACAGAGACCGAGAUCCAUUAACCAAGGAACAUUUGUUAAAAGUCCAUAGGCUUCCUGCUAUGGAGACUAUAGAAGAAAGAGAAGAUUUGGACCCUCUUCUCAAAGGUACGUGAAGACUAAUAGGUAAAUGAAUGAAAAGGCAAUGAGUAUAUGAGAA
rnacentral:lncRNA from 1 species